GAUCAUGGCUCAGGACGAACGCUGGCGGCGUGCCUAACACAUGCAAGUCGAGCGGAGACAGGGAGUAGCUUGCUAUGAACUGUUUUAGCGGCGGACGGGUGAGUAACGCGUGAGCAACCUUUCCCAGACAGGGGAAUAACACACCGAAAGGUGUACUAAUACCGCAUAAGACCACGGUUUCACAUGGAACUGAGGUAAAAGAUUUAAUCGGUUUUGGGGUGGGCUCGCGUCCGAUUAGGUAGUUGGUGAGGUAACGG
rnacentral:rRNA from 1 species